GACGAACGCUGGCGGCGUGCUUAACACAUGCAAGUCGAACGGUAAGGCCCUUCGGGGUACACGAGUGGCGAACGGGUGAGUAACACGUGGGUGAUCUGCCCUGCACUUCGGGAUAAGCCUGGGAAACUGGGUCUGAUACCGGAUAGGACCACUGCCUGCAUGGGUGGUGGUGGAAAGCUUUUGCGGUGUGGGAUGGGCCCGUGGCCUAUCAGCUUGUUGGUGGGGUGAUGGCCUACCAAGGCGACGUCGGGUAGCCGGCCUAAGAGGGUGACCGGCCACACUGGGACUGGGAUACGGCCCAGACUACUACGGGAGGCAGCAGUGGGGAAUAUUGCACAAUGGGCGAAAGCCUGAUGCAGCGACGCCGCGUGAGGGAUGACGGCCUUCGGGUUGUAAACCUCUUUCAGCACCGACGAAGCGCAAGUGACGGUAGGUGCAGAAGGAGGACCGGCCAACUACGUGCCAGCCGCCGCCGUAA
rnacentral:rRNA from 1 species